AGUGAACGCUGGUGGCGUGCUUAACACAUGCAAGUCGAACGAGAACGGAAUAUAGCUUGCUAUAUUUGUCAGCUAAGUGGCGCACGGGUGAGUAAUGUAUAGAUAACCUGCCCUUAAGAAAGGAAUAACAGUUGGAGACGACUGCUAAUGCCCUAUAUGCCUUUAAUACAUAAGUAUGCAAGGGAAACGCUUUAGUGCUUAAGGAUGGGUCUGUAUGGUAUCAGCUUGUUGGUGAGGUAAUGGCUCACCAAGGCUAUGACGCCUAACUGGUUUGAGAGGAUGAUCAGUCACACUGGAACUGAGACACGGUCCAGACUCCUACGGGAGGCAGCAGUGGGGAAUAUUGCACAAUGGACGAAAGUCUGAUGCAGCAACGCCGCGUGGAGGAUGACACAUUUCGGUGCGUAAACUCCUUUUAUAUAGGAAGAUAAUGACGGUACUAUAUGAAUAAGGAUCGGCUAACUCCGUGCCAGCCGCCGCCGUAA
rnacentral:rRNA from 1 species